rnacentral:rRNA from 1 species
GUCAGCAGCUAUAUCACCCUGCCUCUCACAGCUGGUAGCCCACUGAAGCUGAAGCUGAACCUGAAGCUGAAGCUCAGCAGGCACGAGCCUGGCCAGUACCUGGAUGGGAGACCUCCUGGGAAACCUGAGGUUGCUGCUGGAA